rnacentral:rRNA from 1 species
GACGAACGCUGGCGGCGUGCCUAUACAUGCAAGUAGAACGCUGAUGUUUGGUGUUUACACUAGACUGAUGAGUUGCGAACGGGUGAGUAACGCGUAGGUAACCUGCCUCAUAGCGGGGGAUAACUAUUGGAAACGAUAGCUAAUACCGCAUAAGAGUAAUUAACACAUGUUAGUUAUUUAAAAGGAGCAAUUGCUUCACUGUGAGAUGGACCUGCGUUGUAUUAGCUAGUUGGUGAGGUAAAGGCUCACCAAGGCGACGAUACAUAGCCGACCUGAGAGGGUGAUCGGCCACACUGGGACUGAGACACGGCCCAGACUCCUACGGGAGGCAGCAGUAGGGAAUCUUCGGCAAUGGACGGAAGUCUGACCGAGCAACGCCGCGUGAGUGAAGAAGGUUUUCGGAUCGUAAAGCUCUGUUGUUAGAGAAGAACGUUGGUAGGAGUGGAAAAUCUACCAAGUGACGGUAACUAACCAGAAAGGGACGGCUAACUACGUGCCAGCAGCCGCGGUAAUACGUAGGUCCCGAGCGUUGUCCGGAUUUAUUGGGCGUAAAGCGAGCGCAGGCGGUUCUUUAAGUCUGAAGUUAAAGGCAGUGGCUUAACCAUUGUACGCUUUGGAAACUGGAGGACUUGAGUGCAGAAAGGGAGAGUGGAAUUCCAUGUGUAGCGGUGAAAUGCGUAGAUAUAUGGAGGAACACCGGUGGCGAAAGCGGCUCUCUGGUCUGUAACUGACGCUGAGGCUCGAAAGCGUGGGGAGCAAACA